UUUUUUUUUUUUUUUUUUUUUUUGUACAACUUUGUGAACUAUGAUCAUGUAAAGUUCUUUAAACAAAUCUGAGAAAACUGGGAAGCAAUCAAGAGGCAGAAAAAGAGUUCCCAGAAGUUAUCAGUCAAAGACAGAGGAAGUUUUGAAGCAAUCACGAGGGAAGAAAAAAGUGCGCAGUUUAAUCGACUCUUCUGAAUCUGAUGAAGAAGAGGAGUGAAGUACUCUCACGAAAGCUAUCAAAAGACCUAAUUUUUGUAAUAUUUAAAGGAUAUGCGUAAUAGAUAUCCUAUUACAAUUAACAUGUUAUGAUGAUAUUACUAUAUAUUGAUUUUAGUAUCAGCCUUAUUUUAUUGUUGUAUUAAAUGAUUAACGCCAUUUCUUUUC